AUAUGAAAAGAUAUAUCACUUUGAGUAGCAUGGGAGUUUCUAGGACAACACAGCUUCAUGUUCUUCAACUGCUCAACGUAGUAGUUAGGGAUGGAGGCGAUAAUAUAUUCCAUUUUGGUCAUGAAACUUUGAAGAAAAGAUGGGAGACACUGAACAAGGUCUUGUCACUCUCUACACGUUUCUCGCUCCAGAAAAUCAAACCUGAGUACUGCAACUAAAAAUAAAGAAUUACGAAACAUAUACAAUACAAUUCUAAUUAAUGAUAAUAUAAAAUCUGUUACUUCUAAAACUAUACACUAUUUAUUUCAUUUUUUGAAUGAAAAUAUCUUCGUAAACACACAAAAUAUUUUGUGACGUUGCAAUUAUACAUACACACAAUAUCUGCCUCUUCAUACUGACGUUACUAUGUUCCCUCUCGUGAGGUACGGACCGAGAGAGAAUACAGGAUGCGGACCGGUCAUGUUUAUGUCUGCACAGGGUGCGGGACCGGUCACCUAGUAAAUAUUAUUUCAAAAAGUAACAAUCUUUAGAUUAUUUUAGAAUUAAAAAGUCAAAAUGAUUCGACCAGAAUUUCUCUCUAUAAUAGAAUUUAUUACAGAAUAUAUAAAUAGGUUGGAAAUGCUAUAAAAUAACAAGCUAAGCGGUCAUUCUUAUUAGAGACUCAUAGUAUUAAACAAUUGUUUUGGUUCUUGGUACUGAUAUUUGAUACUUAUCAGUAAUCUGGAAUCUAGUCGUUUUUUAUUAAGUAAGUUUAUGGAGAAGAAGCUGCUUCUUAUUACAGUGUCGAUCAUCACGAAUCUUGUAUUUACUAUUCAUAUUCUUUAUAGAAACUCAACCACAUGGAAUCCGACUUGGACCAGUAGAGCUGCUAUUGAAGCAGAGGAUGCAGCCUCUGUGUCAUGCUCAGGCCAUGGAAGAGCUUACGUGGACGGUAUUGGAGUCCUUGGCGGCAAGCAACCUUCUUGUGAAUGCAACAAUUGCUAUACAGGCAAAGAUUGUUCUAUUCUUCUCUCAGAUUGUCCUGUCAACGCUAACUCGUAUGCAAAAAACCCUAUCAUUGGAUCCAUUGUUUCGACAGUAUGACCAAACUAAUCUAUUUUUCUUUUUUAUUAACUUUGUGUAUUUCUUGUUUGUUUUUCGGGUUUUGAAGAGGAGACCCUUUGUUCUUAGAGCCUUUCUGGAUGCGACAAGCAGAGAGCAGCGCGGCUCUGGUCUCGGGAUGGCACAGGAUGAGUUAUAUCUAUCAAGAUGGGACAUAUAUGUCGGAAGCGCUGAGACGGUCAUCAGGAAACUGCAUAGUGUGGUGGGAAACGCUGUUACAGAUAACAGGUUUGUAAUAUUUGGAAGUGGAAGCACACAAUUGCUUGCAGCAGCUGUUCAUGCCUUGUCUUUGACAAACUCAUCAUCAUCAGGACCCGCAAGGCUUUUGGCUUCAGUUCCAUAUUACGCUGUAAGCAAGCUCUGUUAUGGCUUUAUGUAAACAAACAUAUUGGUUGUUUUGACCAUUCUGUGUGUAGAUGUACAAGGAGCAAGCGGAGUUCUUUGACUCAGUACAUCUCAAGUUUGAAGGAGAUGCGUUUGCGUGGAAGAAUAGCGAGCGCAAUGAUAAUACCACACAAGUUAUAGAGGUAGUGACAUCUCCGAAUAAUCCAGAUGGGAAGCUGAAAAGAGUGGUUAAAAGGAGCGGUUCUUGAUGGUCCUAAUGUCAAAACAAUUCAUGAUUACGCCUAUUACUGGCCUUAUUUCUCCCCUAUAACUGUUCCAGCUGAUGAAGAUUUGAGCUUGUUUAGUCUCUCCAAGACUACAGGUCAUGCUGGCUCUAGAUUCGGGUAAACAAAAAUAAAUAAAAAAUGUAUCAAAAGAUUUGGAUUGGUCCCAACAGCUCACAUGUGUUUUUGUUUUUGCAGGUGGGGUUUGGUAAAAGACAAAACUGUUUAUGAAAAUAUGAAAAGAUAUAUCACUUUGAGUAGCAUGGGAGUUUCUAGGACAACACAGCUUCAUGUUCUUCAACUGCUCAACGUAGUAGUUAGGGAUGGAGGCGAUAAUAUAUUCCAUUUUGGUCAUGAAACUUUGAAGAAAAGAUGGGAGACACUGAACAAGGUCUUGUCACUCUCUACACGUUUCUCGCUCCAGAAAAUCAAACCUGAGUACUGCAACUAUUUCAAGAAAGUCAGAGACUUUACUCCUUGUAAGUUUUUGUUCUCAUGCAAGAAUAAAAAAGAAAGCUGAGAUUUUUCUAUUUUAAGAAGAAUUGGUCUGUUUUAAAUUUAUUUGUUUGAUUUGAAAGCU
rnacentral:lncRNA from 1 species